UAAUAGUUUCCUCCAUUCGUUUUUGUGACACAUCAAAUGAUUAAUUCUAAAUUGCCAUUUUUUCUCUCUCUCUAUAUACUUCACCAAAAUUAUUGAAUAGACACACAAAGCAAACAUUUCUUCUCAACAAACUUAAUUGGUAUUGAUCAUUUUAGUGCAGCAAUGGGUUCUUCAAAACUUGUGUUUUCAAUGCUAUAUUCCUUUCUCUGUCAACUUGCUUUCUCCUCAUCCUCAUCUCAUUUUUGCCCCAAAGAUCAAUCUCUUGCUCUGCUACAAUUCAAGCACAUGUUUACCAUCAUCCUAAUGCUUCUGAUUAUUGUUACAAUUCAAGAACUCUUUCAUGGAACAAGAGCACAGAUUGCUGCACAUGGAAUGGAGUUCAUUGUGAGGAGACAACGAGACAAGUAAUUGAGCUUGACCUCUAUUGCAACAGACUUCAAGGCAAAUUCCAUUCCAACAGUAGCCUGUUUCAUCUCUCCAAUCUCAAAUUGCUUGUUUUGUCUUUUAAUAAUUUUUCCUGCACGCAUGUCAGGAUGUGAGCAUGAAGGUGGCUAAGAACAUGAGAAAUCAGAACACUAGAGGCCACUUGUGCUUGUAUCCUGUGCACGCAGGUCCUUCACAUGGGUCACUUAUUUCACCUAAAUUUGAAAUAGAUUUGAAGGUUAUCUCCCAAGCAUUACUGGAGAUCUCGUUGGACUCCGUACGCUGAACCUAUCUCAUAAUGGUUUGGAAGGUAUUAUAGCAGCAUCGUUGCAACAUUUGUCCGUACUUGAAUCGUUGGAUCUCUCAUCUAACAAGAUUGGAGGUGAAAUUCCACAACAGCUUGUAUCCCUCACAUCACUUGCAGUCUUAAAUUUUCUCACAAUCAUCUUGUUGGAUGCAUUCCUAAAGAAAAGCAAUUUGAUAUGUUUGAGAACAGUUCAUACCAAGGGAAUGAUGGUUUACGUGGAUUGCCACUCUCAAAAGAUUGUGGUGGCAAUUAUGGGGUACCGCAAGCGACAACUCUAGCUGAGCUAGAUGAAGAAGAAGAAGGAGAUUUGAUCAGUUGGCAAGCGGUUCUCCUGGGUUACGGUUGUGGUCUUGUUAUUGGUCUGUCCAUAAUAUACAUAAUGUUGUCAACUCACUAUCCAGUAUGGUUUUCAAGGAUGGUUGUAAAAUUUGAACACAAAAUUGUUACAAAAAUGAAAAGGCAAAAGAAAAGAUAUUAGUGUGUAAA